rnacentral:rRNA from 1 species
GAAGAAAGAGGGAGGAGGGAGGAACACAUGCAAGUCGAACGGAAAGGCCCUGCUUUUGUGGGGUGCUCGAGUGGCGAACGGGUGAGUAACACGUGAGUAACCUGCCCUUGACUUUGGGAUAACUUCAGGAAACUGGGGCUAAUACCGGAUAGGAGCUCCUGCUGCAUGGUGGGGGUUGGAAAGUUUCGGCGGUUGGGGAUGGACUCGCGGCUUAUCAGCUUGUUGGUGGGGUAGUGGCUUACCAAGGCUUUGACGGGUAGCCGGCCUGAGAGGGUGACCGGCCACAUUGGGACUGAGAUACGGCCCAGACUCCUACGGGAGGCAGCAGUGGGGAAUAUUGCACAAUGGGCGGAAGCCUGAUGCAGCAACGCCGCGUGCGGGAUGACGGCCUUCGGGUUGUAAACCGCUUUCGCCUGUGACGAAGCGUGAGUGACGGUAAUGGGUAAAGAAGCACCGGCUCACUACGUC